UGAGAGGUUGGCACGGGCGAACACCUCGCCAACCCGGUCAGGUCCGGAAGGAAGCAGCCGUAACGAGUUCGGUUCGGGUCGUUCAACCUCUCACCU
rnacentral:SRP_RNA from 2 species